rnacentral:rRNA from 1 species
AAAUUGAAGAGUUUGAUCAUGGCUCAGAUUGAACGCUGGCGGCAGGCCUAACACAUGCAAGUCGAACGGUAACAGGAAUCAGCUUGCUGAUUCGCUGACGAGUGGCGGACGGGUGAGUAAUGUCUGGGAAACUGCCUGAUGGAGGGGGAUAACUACUGGAAACGGUAGCUAAUACCGCAUAAUGUCGCAAGACCAAAGAGGGGGACCUUCGGGCCUCUUGCCAUCGGAUGUGCCCA